rnacentral:rRNA from 1 species
GCCCAGACUCCUACGGGAGGCAGCAGUGGGGAAUAUUGCGCAAUGGGCGAAAGCCUGACGCAGCGACGCCGCGUGAAGGAAGAAGGCUUUCGGGUUGUAAACUUCUUUUCUCAGGGACGAAGAAAGUGACGGUACCUGAGGAAUAAGCCACGGCUAACUACGUGCCAGCAGCCGCGGUAAUACGUAGGUGGCAAGCGUUAUCCGGAUUUAUUGGGUGUAAAGGGCGUGUAGGCGGGAGCGCAAGUCAGAUGUGAAAACUCAGGGCUCAACCCUGAGCCUGCAUUUGAAACUGUGUUUCUUGAGUGCUGGAGAGGCAAUCGGAAUUCCGUGUGUAGCGGUGAAAUGCGUAGAUAUACGGGGGAACACCAGUGGCGAAGGCGGAUUGCUGGACAGUAACUGACGCUGAGGCGCGAAAGCGUGGGGAGCAAACAGGAUUAGAUACCCCCGUAC